UUGAGCCUUGAUGUGUAGGAUAGGUGGGAGGCUUUGAAGUGUGGACGCCAGUCUGCAUGGAGCCGACCUUGAAAUACCACCCUUUAAUGUUUGAUGUUCUAACGUUGACCCGUAAUCCGGGUUGCGGACAGUGUCUGGUGGGUAGUUUGACUGGGGCGGUCUCCUCCUAAAGAGUAACGGAGGAGCACGAAGGUUGGCUAAUCCUGGUCGGACAUCAGGAGGUUAGUGCAAUGGCAUAAGCCAGCUUGACUGCGAGCGUGACGGCGCGAGCAGGUGCGAAAGCAGGUCAUAGUGAUCCGGUGGUUCUGAAUGGAAGGGCCAUCGCUCAACGGAUAAAAGGUACUCCGGGGAUAACAGGCUGAUACCGCCCAAGAGUUCAUAUCGACGGCGGUGUUUGGCACCUCGAUGUCGGCUCAUCACAUCCUGGGGCUGAAGUAGGUCCCAAGGGUAUGGCUGUUCGCCAUUUAAAGUGGUACGCGAGCUGGGUUUAGAACGUCGUGAGACAGUUCGGUCCCUAUCUGCCGUGGGCGCUGGAGAACUGAGGGGGGCUGCUCCUAGUACGAGAGGACCGGAGUGGACGCAUCACUGGUGUUCGGGUUGUCAUGCCAAUGGCACUGCCCGGUAGCUAAAUGCGGAAGAGAUAAGUGCUGAAAGCAUCUAAGCACGAAACUUGCCCCGAGAUGAGUUCUCCCUGACUCCUUGAGAGUCCUGAAGGAACGUUGAAGACGACGACGUUGAUAGGCCGGGUGUGUAAGCGCAGCGAUGCGUUGAGCUAACCGGUACUAAUGAACCGUGAGG
rnacentral:rRNA from 1 species